GGGGGGCGAAGCGUUAUUCGGAAUUAUUGGGCGUAAAGGGCGUGUAGGCGGCUUCGCCAGUCCGAUGUGAAAGCCCUCGGCUCAACCGGGGAACGUGCAUUGGAAACUGCGGAGCUUGAGUCCGGGAGAGGAGAGUGGAAUUCCCAGUGUAGCGGUGAAAUGCGUAGAUGUUGGGAGGAACACCAGUGGCGAAGGCGGCUCUCUGGACCGGUACUGACGCUGAAACGCGAAAGCCAGGGGAGCAAACGGGAUUAGAUACCCCGGGUAGUCCUGGCUGUAAACGAUGAGCACUUGGUGUGGCGGGUAUCGACCCCCUGCCGUGCCGAAGCUAACGCAUUAAGUGCUCCGCUGGGGGAUACGGCCGCAAGGCUG
rnacentral:rRNA from 1 species